rnacentral:rRNA from 1 species
UACGUAGGGUGCAAGCGUUAAUCGGAAUUACUGGGCGUAAAGCGUGCGCAGGCGGCUUUGCAAGACAGAUGUGAAAUCCCCGGGCUCAACCUGGGAACUGCAUUUGUGACUGCAAGGCUGGAGUACGGCAGAGGGGGAUGGAAUUCCGCGUGUAGCAGUGAAAUGCGUAGAUAUCAGGAAGAACACCCGUGGCGAAGGCGGCUUUCUGGGACGGUACUGACGCUGAGACGCGAAAGCGUGGGGAGCGAACAGG